ACCGGUGGCCCGUGGUUAGUGUCCGCCUUAGAUGCGGGAGGUCGUGGGUUCGAUUCCCCGCCGAAUUA